GUGGGCGGAAGCUCAUUGUAGAGGUCACAUGCUGAGUGCUCGUCACUCCACCAAUCACCUCGGGGAAGGUCUGAGACAGGAGCCAAUCGUCGCCCUCGCAGGGCGUCACCCGACCCGGGUGAGCGAGCGAACAGAAACCAGGGUCCGUGUGAGCUGCAGCCGCAGGAGAAGCCUGACGGAGCGGCUUCAGCUCCGCCGGUGGAUGCGACGCUCGCAGACUUGGAAUCACUCGCGGCUGGCGAAUGAGUGCGAUGGAUGAGGUGGAGCACAGCUCCAGAACCCAAUUCAGACUACUCUCCACCCAC
rnacentral:RNase_P_RNA from 1 species